AUGUCCGUAGUUGAAUACAACGUUGAUUUUUCAUGUCAACGGUCUUGGUUAUACUCCAUGUGGGCAUA
rnacentral:tRNA from 1 species